GGCUUCAUAGCUCAGUUGGUUAGAGUCUCGCACCGGUAUUGUGAAGUCACGGGCUUAAACCCUGUUAAAGUCC
rnacentral:tRNA from 1 species